rnacentral:miRNA from 1 species
UUUGGUACUAUGAAUGCAGU